UUCGGAGUUACUGGGCGUAAAGGGCGUGUAGGCGGCUGUUUAAGUUUGGCGUGAAAUCUCCCGGCUCAACUGGGAGGGUGCGCCGAAUACUGAAUGACUUCGAGUGCGGGAGAGGAGAGUGGAAUUCCUGGUGUAGCGGUGAAAUGCGUAGAUAUCAGGAGGAACACCGGUGGUGUAGACGGCUCUCUGGACCGUAACUGACGCUGAGACACGAAAGCGUGGGUAGCAAACAGG
rnacentral:rRNA from 1 species